AUUGAACGCUGGCGGCAGGCCUAACACAUGCAAGUCGAGCGAGCGGCGGACGGGUGAGUAAUGUAUGGGGACUGCCCGAUAGAGGGGGAUAACUACUGGAAACGGUGGCUAAUACCGCAUACUAUCGGAUAACCCAUAUGGGAUUAGCUAGUAGGUGGGGUAAAGGCUCACCUAGGCGACGAUCUCUAGCUGGCCUGAGAGGAUGAUGAGCAACACUAGGACUGAGACACGGCCCAAACUCCUACGGAGGCAGCAGUGGGGAAUAUUGCACAAAGGGCAAAAGACUAAUCCAGCCAUGCCGCUAGUAUGAGGAAGGCCUUAGAGUUGUAAAAUACUUUCAGCGUGGAGGCGUUGCCCACAGAAGAAACACCGGCUAGCUCCGUGCCGGAAGCCGCGGUAAUAC
rnacentral:rRNA from 1 species